rnacentral:rRNA from 1 species
UACGUAGGGGGCAAGCGUUGUCCGGAUUUAUUGGGCGUAAAGAGCGUGUAGGCGGCAGGUAGGUCUGCUGUGAAAGACUCGAGGCUUAACCUCGAGCUGUCGGCGGAAACCAUCUGGCUAGAGUCCGGAAGAGGAGAAUGGAAUUCCCGGUGUAGCGGUGAAAUGCGCAGAUAUCGGGAAGAACACCCGUGGCGAAGGCGGUUCUCUGGGACGGUACUGACGCUGAGACGCGAAAGCGUGGGGAGCGAACAGG